GGACGACCCGCCAGCUGCCUCCGGAGCCGAGCAGGCCCCGAACCUUCCCAUUCCUAGAUUUCCAGCCGCACAACAGCCGCGGUGCCCCUGGCUCGACGCAGCUGGCCGGAGGCGCGGAGCUGGUCGUUCGUCCCGCCCGCCGUUCCGCGCCCCUCUCCCGGCUCUUGUUUCCUCGCCUCUUAACGAGGCCUUUGUGAGGAAGGUUGCUGGGCCUUGGGACUCUGACGAUCGGCUGGAAACCAGGCCUGGCCCUGUUUCAGCAUCCCCGCGUGCCAAGCCCUGGGCCGGCGUGCGGGUCCCUGCCCCUGCGAGGAAGCUGGGACUUUUGCAGGCCUGGGUGGAGACGUGUACAUAACAGAGGAAGAGUGUGGAGGAUUGGAGGACUCAGGGCAGCACGGCAGAGACACUGGCUUUCGCCAUGUUGCCCAGUCUUGUCUUGAAGCCCCGGGCUCAAGUUAUCUGCUCACCUCGACCUCCCAAAGUGUUGAGAUUACAGGCAUGAGCCAUCACACCCUGCCCUAAGUAUUUGAUUUUUGAUAGCGACUGUAAGUUGAAAGGUAUAACAUUUUCCGAAGUUUGUGAUUAUAAU
rnacentral:lncRNA from 10 species